GACGAACGCUGGCGGCGUGCUUAGCACAUGCAAGUCGAACGGAAAGGCCCUGCUUUUGUGGGGUGCUCGAGUGGCGAACGGGUGAGUAACACGUGAGUAACCUGCCCUUGACUUUGGGAUAACUUCAGGAAACUGGGGCUAAUACCGGAUAGGAGCUCCUGCUGCAUGGUGGGGGUUGGAAAGUUUCGGCGGUUGGGGAUGGACUCGCGGCUUAUCAGCUUGUUGGUGGGGUAGUGGCUUACCAAGGCUUUGACGGGCAGCCGGCCUGAGAGGGUGACCGGCCACAUUGGGACUGAGAUACGGCCCAGACUCCUACGGGAGGCAGCAGUGGGGAAUAUUGCACAAUGGGCGGAAGCCUGAUGCAGCAACGCCGCGUGCGGGAUGACGGCCUUCGGGUUGUAAACCGCUUUCGCCUGUGACGAAGCGUGAGUGACGGUAAUGGGUAAAGAAGCACCGGCUAACUACGUG
rnacentral:rRNA from 1 species